rnacentral:rRNA from 1 species
GAUGAACGCUGGCGGUAUGCUUAACACAUGCAAGUCGAACGAGUGGCGGACGGGUGAGUAACGCGUGAGAAUCUGCCUUCAGUUCGGGACAACCACUGGAAACGGUGGCUAAUACCGAAUGAGAUGAGCUCGCGUCUGAUUAGCUAGUAGGUGUGGUAAAAGCGCACCUAGGCGACGAUCAGUAGCUGGUCUGAGAGGAUGAUCAGCCACACUGGGACUGAGACACGGCCCAGACUCCUACGGGAGGCAGCAGUGGGGAAUUUUCCGCAAUGGGCGAAAGCCUGACGGAGCAAUACCGCGUGAGGGAGGAAGGCCUUUGGGUUGUAAACCUCUUUUCUCAAGGAUGACGGUACUUGAGGAAUAAGCAUCGGCUAACUCCGUGCCAGCAGCCGCGGUAAUACGGAGGAUGCAAGCGUUAUCCGGAAUGAUUGGGCGUAAAGCGUCCGCAGGUGGCUAUGUAAGUCCGCUGUUAAAUAGUCUAGCUCAACUAGAUAAAGGCAGUGGAAACUACAUGGCUAGAGUGCGUUCGGGGCAGAGGGAAUUCCUGGUGUAGCGGUGAAAUGCGUAGAGAUCAGGAAGAACACCGGUGGCGAAAGCGCUCUGCUAGGCCGCAACUGACACUGAGGGACGAAAGCUAGGGGAGCGAAUGGGAUUAGAUACCCCAGUAGUCCUAGCCGUAAACGAUGGAUACUAGGCGUGGGUGCCGUAGCUAUCGCGUUAAGU